AUGAACAUCGUGAAGGGCGUCGCUGAUCUCCUCCGCAAGUCGUCGCCCUCCUCGCCGGCCUCCGGCGGUGGCGGCGCCGGUGCCGGUGGAGGUAGCCCCGGCGGAGGCGGGGGCGGCACCGGCUCCCCCUCCGCCGACAAGUUCGCCGCCGCGCCCUCCCCCAGAGUCCGCUUCAGUGACACUGGUGAGGAAGGAAUCUUAAACACACUCUGGCAGAGGUACGAGAAUGCCAUCGACAAGGCUGAAAAGAAGAAGUCCCUGCAAAUAUUUGUCCUGCAUUUUAUACAAGCAUUUAAAGACUGGGAGCCACACCGUAUUGAUCAAUCAGUUGACCGGAGAUCAGUAUCAGAUGAUACAGUUAUAGGAUGUUCUGGUGGGCAUCCUUCUGAGGUCAUCCUUAUUCUCGUUCAGGAGAUUUCUCAUUUAACUUCAUUUGUUACUGAGAGCAGCAGCUGUCCAGAAUCCUCGGCUAAUCUCUCAGAGCAAUCCACAGACCUGGGAUUAAGCACUGAAGUAUUGCCUGUUUUGGAGUGUUUCACCAUUGUUACUCGCUCAGUGCAUAACUGUAGAGUAUUUAGUUAUUAUGGAGGUGUGCAAAAGGUUACUGCUCUUUUGAAAGCCGCAGUUGUAAAGCUCAAGACCUUGACAAGUUUGCUUGCCACAGAUGAACAACUGUCAAAUAGAACUGUAGAAAAUAUGAGGAUGAUGCAAAAGAUUCUUGUACACAUUGUUACGAUAAUUUCAAACUUCAUGGAUUUGGAGCCAGCUGCAACAAGAAUUUCACGGGUUGUCAAUAGCACUGAUCAUACCCCAUCAAACAACUUAGCCACAGUUACUCCCAAUGCUAUAAGAAGAUUUGUUUCUGAUAGAAAUUGGCAGCAAAAAGCCAUUGUUUCAGUUAUGGAAGCUGGCGGAGUCAAUUGGUUAGUAGAACUCUUAAGGGUCAUUCGAAGACUAAAUUUGAAAGAUCAGUGGACUGACUUGUCACUUCACUUUAUAACUUUGUAUGCUCUGAGAUCAACAAUAUCUGAGAAUACUCGUGCACAGAAUCAUUUCAGAAGCAUCGGAGGACUGGAGGUUCUAUUGGAUGGACUGGGACUACCAUCAAGCAAAUUUUCAGUCUCAAAGCAUUCUUUUGUCCCCAGUGAUGAAAGGAGUGACAUUCUGCAGCUCCAGAUACUAUCUUUGGAAAUUCUGAGGGAAGCGGUUUUCGGUAAUGUUAACAAUUUGCAGUUCCUAUGUGAAAAUGGACGGAUACAUAAAUUUGCGAACAGCAUCUGUUGGCCCGCAUUUAUGUUUCAGGAGUUUCAUCAGCAGAAAUUUCUUGAUCCCGAGGUGCCCAACUGGAAACUUGAUAGACAAAGUACCGGGAAUUCACCUACAUUAGAAUCAUUCCCAAGUCCUGUUGAUAUUCUUAAUACGACCGAAUGGAAUGAGUAUUCUGUAAAGUUAAGCAAGGCACUUUGUUCUUUCCUUCUUCCUCCUAAUGAGAUCAGGUACUGUCCUGGUUCAACUGUUACCAAAAUUUCUCUACCCAUCUCGUUGGCAUACUGGGAGCAAUGUGCAAGGUGGAUCAUAAAGAUUCUUUCAACUGUUUUCCCAUGCAUCAAAGCAUGUGCUAGUGAAACGGAAUUGCCUAACCAUAUAAGGAUUUUAUCAAAUAUCCUACAACAUUACAUGCUCAGCACAUUUAAGAAAGUUCUCAUUUCAGCACCAGUUCUACUCAAAUCUUUUCGAGAGGAGGGUUUGUGGGAUCUGAUAUUCUCAGAGAAAAUUUUCUAUUUCGGAUCAUCCCUGGAGUGCAUUCAUCAGAUUGUUGGUGAGACUGAGACACAAACUGAUCAUUUCACUGACGCUGCCGAAUCAACUGGCUACAAAAGUAAUCUACCUGAUGUCAACAUCCUUCAGUCAGAAGCUAUUUCCUUCUUGGAGUUUGCUGCAACACUGAAUGAAAACACAAAUAACCUGCCAGAAUGCUCAGCAUUGUUAAGUGCACUGGAACACUGCACUAAUGGUCCUGGAUUGGUUGUUACCAUUCUUAAGAGCUUUCAUGUUAUCCUGAAACUUGCCACUGAGCAAACUCUAGUUUCUUUCAAGUCAUUGGACGUGCUUACCAGAGUCCUGAAGGUUGCAUGCCUUCAAGCACAAGAACUAAGGAAGGCACAUCCAAGCGAUGACUUCAGGGGAAAUGGUUCUCAAUCAAACAAUGUUCAGAUGGAUUCUCUAGAUGAGAGAAUUAAGAAUGCUCUUACAUGUGUCGAAUUGGCUUUCAACCUUUUCAAGGAAUAUGUCACAAUAUCUGACCUUGGAAGGAUGAUAAUUUUACAUAAUGCCAAUUGUAUUGGGUGCCUAUUUGAUUUAUUCCAAGAAGAGAACCUCCGGAAACAUGUACUGGAGCAAGUUCUUGCCUUAUAUAGGUUGCCUCCAUCAUCAGCACAAGAUCAUACAGCAAAGUUGCAACUAUGCUCCAAAUAUUUAGAGACCUUCACUCGUGCAAAAGAGCAUGAAAAGAACUUUGCAGAAAUGUCGAUUGAUUUAUUAGUUACCUUGAGAGAGAUCAUUUUGAUAGAUCGCGCGUAUUACCAAAAUCUGUUUCGCAAUGGGGAGUGCUUCCUGCAUAUAGUCUCUUUAUUGAAUGGAACUUUUGAUGAAGCAGUUGGGGAGCAAUUGGUCCUUAAUGUCCUUCAGACGUUGACCUCAUUACUUGCUGAAAAUGAUGAAUCCAAGGCUGCUUUUAGAAUGUUGGUUGGUGUGGGCUACCAAACACUGCAAAGCUUGCUAUUGGACUUCUGUAAAUGGCUGCCAAGUCGGAAACUCUUGGAUGCCCUACUUGGUAUGCUUGUCGAUGGGACUUUUGAGAUAAAUGAAAAGACAACAAUAAAGAAUGAAGAUGUAAUUAUACUUUUCUUAAAUGUUCUACAAAAGAGCAGUACUUCGCUUCAACAUUAUGGGCUUGUGGUCUUACAGCAAUUGCUCAAAGGGUCCAUUACAAAUAGAACUUAUUGUUUCAAAGCAGGAUUACUUAGCUUUCUUCUUGACUGGUUUUCUGUUGAGGAAUGGGAGGACACAGUUAUAAAAAUUGCAGAGUUAAUUCAGAUUAUUGGAGGACAUAGUAUUUCCGGGAAAGAUAUCCGGAAAAUGUUUGCUCUCUUGCGUGGUGAGAAAAUUAGUGUCAAGCAGAAGCAUAGCUCAUUGCUUUUGACAAGUCUUAGUCAUAUGCUCAAGGAAAAGGGACCUGAAGCUUUCUUUGAGUUCAGUGGUCAUGAUUCUGGUAUUGAAGUAAAAUCACCUGUUCAAUGGCCUUACAGUAAAGGUUUAUCUUUCUGCUGUUGGCUUAGAGUGGAAAGCUUCCCUGAGAAUGGUAUGAUGGGCCUUUUCUCCUUUUUCACGGAAAAUGGAAAAGGAUGUUUAGCUAUGCUUGGGAAAAAUACUCUAGUCUAUGAGUCUGUCAGUCAAAAGAAUCAGUGUGUUUUGUUGCCUUUAAGCCUCCCAACGAAGCAAUGGAAAUUCCUUUCUGUUACUCAUACAGUAGGGAGAGCUUUUUCUGGAGGAAGCCAGCUGAGAUGCUAUGUAGAUGGCGAUUUAGUAUCAACUGAGAAAUGCAGGUAUGCAAAAGUCAAUGAAGUGAUGACUCGCUGCAGUCUUGGAACAGAAUUAAUGCCCAUUGGUGAAGAACCAACUUCUCUUGGUUUUGAGGGCACUUUUGCUUUUACUGGUCAAAUGGGCCCAGUUUAUGCAUUUUCUGAUGCUCUCUCUGCCGAACAAAUAAGAGGCAUAUACAAUCUUGGACCAAGUUACAUGUACUCUUUCCUUGGUGAUCAAAACUUGCUUAUGAAUAAUGACUCACUUUACAAGGGAAUUUUGGAUGCAAGGGAUGGUAUUUCAUCGAAGAUGAUUUUUGGCUUGAACGCACAGGCUAGCAAUAAUAGGACUUUGUUCAAUGUGUCUUCUGUACUUGAUAGUCUUGACAAGAGCAAGCUUGAGGCAACCAUCAUGGGUGGUACAAAGUUAUGCUCGAGGCGCUUGCUGCAGGACAUAAUUUAUUGCGUUGGAGGUGUCUCUGUGUUGUUUCCUCUUCUGAUACAUUUUGAUGAUGCCAUCACUCAUAGUGGAGAAUCUCCCACUGGUGAUCAGUUGGCAGGUCAAGUCAUUGAGCUUGUUGCAUCUGUUCUGGAUGGAAAUGUAGCAAAUCAGCAACAGAUGCAUCUUCUUUCUGGAUUCUCUAUUUUAGGCUUCUUGUUUCAAUCUGUUUCACCACAGCUGCUAAAUUUCAAGACUCUUUCAGCACUGAAGCACUUGUUUAAUAUUUUGACAAACAGUGGUAUGUCAGAAAUUCUAUUGAAAGAUGCUCUUCAACAAAUAUAUCUGAACCCGCAUAUCUGGGCAUAUUCAAGUUAUGAAGUACAAAGAGAACUUUAUCUGUUUCUGAUACAGUAUUUUGAAACUGACGGGAAAUUGUUACCAAUGUUAUGUGGACUCCCUAGGAUCAUUGAUAUUGUACGCCAGUUUUAUUCAGAAAAGUUAGAUGCUAGGUCUUCUAAGCCUUUGCUGCAUUUGAUUACUGAACAAGUGAUUGGAGAGAGACCACAUAUAGAAGAAAUUCGCAAGAUUCGUCUUCUCCUCUUGAGUCUGGCAGAAAUGAGCUUAAAGCUGAAGGUCUCUUCACAUGAUAUAAGAGCUCUUGUGUCCUUUUUCGAGAAAAGUCAAGAUGUUGCAUGUAUCGAGGAUGUACUUUACAUGAUUAUCCGUGCUCUUUCACAGAAUUCACUUCUAUCAUCUUUUCUGGAGCAAGUAAAUUCUGUUGGAGGUUGUUACAUUUUCAUCAAUCUUCUUAAGAGGGAAUUCGAACCAAUUCGUCUACUGGGUCUUCAACUUCUUGGAAAGCUUCUGGUUGGAGUUCCAUCUGAGAAAAAAGGACCAAAACUUUUUGGCCUUCCUGUAGGACGACCUAGAUCUAUGUCCGAAAAUAUACGGAAAGGAAUCGCAGCAACACCCCAACUGUUUUUCUAUUCAAUAUCUGAGAGACUUUUCAAAUUUCCACUUUCAGAUCAUUUAUGUGCUACUUUUUUUGAUGUUCUUCUUGGUGGAGCCAGCCCUAAGCAGGUCUUACAGAAACGGUCCCAAUCUAAUGAGCUAAAUGAUAGAAGCAGUACGUCAGUAGUGAGCUUGGCUCCUUUUUAUGUUCCUCAGAUUUUGGUCUGCAUUUUUAAAUAUAUGCACUCUUGCCAAGAUGCUUCAGCACGUGCAAAGAUCUUGAGUGAUCUUCUUGAUUUGCUUGAUUCAAACCCCUCAAAUGUUGAAGCCAUCAUGGAGUAUGGUUGGAGCUCUUGGCUUGAGACAUCUGUGAAGCUUGAUGUCUUCAGGGACUACAGACCAAUUUCGAAAGCUAAUUAUGCCAGUUUGGAGACCAAUGAGCUAAUUCUUGUGAGGAACAUGUAUUCAUUAGUCCUUUCUUAUUUUUUGUGCUACGUGAAAGGUGGCUGGCAUCAGCUGGAGGACACAACAAAUUUUCUUCUCUUAAAAAUUGAGGAGGGACAGUUAACAAAUUUCUGUCUGCUGCGAGACAUUUUUGAAGAUAUCAUUGGAAGCCUGCUCGAGACUUCUCCUGAUGAGGACAUAUUCAUUUCACAGCCAUGCCGUGAUAAUAUCUUGUACCUUUUGAAGCUGAGUGAUGAAUUGCUUGUUGAUCAAAUUGGAAUUAAGCUCCUGUUUCAUCCACCUGAUAUGUGUGCCUCUUCAUCCGAUGGCUCACAGAAAGAUGACAUUGGCUCUGCAUUUGUGGAAAUUAUAAAUGCUGAGAGCAAUAGCCAAUCUGCAAGUCUUCCUUGGAGUAGCAACAUAUUUACUGAUGGUGAAAAACUGAGCGAUGACUGGUGGAGCUUUUAUGACAAAAUCUGGACUCUUGUUUGGAACUUGAAUGGCAAGGGACAAAGCAGAUUGACACCAAAGGGUUCAAGUGCCUCUGUUCCAUCUAUUGGGCAAAGGGCACGUGGGUUGGUAGAAUCGCUAAAUAUCCCGGCUGCAGAAAUGGCUGCUGUAGUUGUAACUGGAGGCAUUGGUACGGCAUUAAGUGCAAAGACGAACAAAAUUACUGACAAAGCCAUGAUGCUACGAGGAGAAAGGUUCCCAAGAAUCAUCUUCCACCUUGUAAUUAUGUAUCUCUGCAAAGCUGGCUUAGAAAAUGCAUCCAAGUGUGUCCAGCAAUUUAUAACAAUGCUUCCUAAUCUUAUUUCCGAAGAAGAUCAAUGCAAAAACAGCCUGCAUUUCAUAAUUUGGUCUUUACUAAGGGUUAGAUCCCACUACGGGGAACUUGAUGAUGGUGCACGUUUCCAUGUUAUUUCACAUUUGAUUCUUGAGACUGUCAUAUAUGGAAAGUCCAUGCUAGCCACUAGCAUCUUGGGCAAAGAUGAUUCUGCUGAAGCAAAUAGCAAUAAAGAGUCCGGCUUCAUUCUUAAUCUUGUACAGAAGGAUCGUGUUCUUGCUGCGGCUUCUGAUGAAGUAAAAUACAUGAAGGACGCAAAGGCUGAUCGCCUGAGGCAACUCCAGGACCUAAAUUCUAAACUUGACGAGCGCUUGAUUGAAGAUAUAGAACAACUCCAAAGCUUGGAAGAUGAUAUACAGUUUGCAAAGACUGCCGCAAUUUCUGGGGAUGACAAUAGGAAAGCAGCUUUCAAGCUUGCAUUUGAUGAGGAUCAGCAAAUUGUUGCAGAUAAAUGGAUACAUAUUUUCCGCGCUUUGAGUGACGAAAGAGGACCAUGGUCUGCUAGUCCCUUUCCAAAUAAUUUGGUGACAUACUGGAAACAUGACAAGACAGAGGAUAAAUGGCGGCGGCGAAUGAAGCUGAAGCGUAAUUAUAAGUUUGAUGAACGCAUUUGUCAACCACUGUCCACCAAAUCUACUAAUGAAAAUACCGCCCCGUCUGUUGAUCCUUUCGUUAGUGCCAAGAUUCCAGAAAAAAUGAAGCGCUUCCUUCUGAAAGGAGUGCGUGGAAUCACAGGGGAUGUUGGUUCUGAAUCAUGCGAGGAUAACAAUGAUACAAGUGAGCCUUCCCAAAAUAAACCAUCAGAGAAUCAGGUGUCAAGUGAUGCUGCAAAUUCUGCAGACUCUUCAGAUUAUCCUACUAGUAGUGUGCAAAAUAGGAAAGAACAAUCAUCUACUGGUGGAGAUAAUGAUUAUGCUGAGGUGCUAUCUUCUGUUCACUGUGUUCUUGUUACACCAAAAAGAAAACUAGCUGGACAAUUUACUAUCACUCGAAAUGCCCUGCAUUUUUCUUUUGAGUUUUUGGUCGAAGGCACAGGGGGCUCAUCUGUUUUCAACAAGUUUCAAGAUAAUAAAGAAUCAGAUGCCAAGAGUGAGCUGGGAAGUGUGGAAAAGCUGAAGGGUAAAUCUGAUGUAGGACGAGGCAAUGAGGCUGGAUCUGGUGAUGCUCUGAUGAAAAGUCAGUCUAGCAAGAUAAAACACCAUAGAAGGUGGAAAAUAACCAGGAUAAGAGCAGUUUACUGGACACGUUACCUACUACAAUAUACUGCAACGGAGAUAUUUUUUGAUGAUGCAAAUGCACCUAUAUUUCUUAAUUUUUCCUCCCAAAAUGAUGCUAAAAAUGUUGGGUCUCUUUUAGUUUCCUUGAGGAAUGAUGCUUUGUUCCCCAAAGGAAGUACAAAAGACAAAAAUAGUGUAAUUUCGUUUGUUGACAGAAAAGUUGCCCUUGAAAUGGCUGAGAGUGCCAGGGAGAGUUGGAGAAAAAGGGAGAUCAGCAACUUUGAGUAUCUAAUGAUUCUGAAUACUCUUUCUGGACGAUCUUACAACGAUUUAACUCAAUACCCUAUAUUUCCUUGGAUAUUGGCUGACUAUUCAUCAGAAAAACUUGAUUUCAACAAGUCAUCUACUUUCAGGGACCUGUCAAAGCCAGUUGGUGCAUUGGAUGCAAAACGCUUUAAGGUUUUCGAAGAUAGAUAUCUUAAUUUCUGUGAUCCUGAUAUACCAAGCUUUUAUUAUGGAUCGCACUACUCUAGCAUGGGAAUUGUUCUUUACUACCUUCUAAGGCUCGAGCCUUUUACUGCUCUGCACCGCAAUCUUCAGGGUGGUAAAUUUGACCAUGCAGACCGUCUCUUUCAGAGCAUUGAAAGCACAUAUAGGAACUGCCUAUCAAAUACAAGUGAUGUCAAGGAGCUUACACCUGAAUUCUUUUACAUGCCUGAGUUUCUUGAAAAUUUGAAUUCAUAUCACUUUGGGGUAAAGCAGGACGGUGAACCUUUAGGCCAUGUAGGUCUCCCUCCAUGGGCAAAGGGUUCACCAGAAGAAUUCAUUCAUAUCAAUCGUGAGGCCCUUGAAAGUGAAUAUGUAAGCUCUAAUCUUCAUCACUGGAUUGACCUCAUAUUUGGUUAUAAGCAGCGUGGCAAGCCUGCCGUUGAGGCAGCAAAUAUAUUCUACUAUUUGACAUAUGAGGGUGCUGUUGAUUUGGAAAACAUGGAUGAUAUGUUGCAGAAGUCUGCUAUCGAAGACCAGAUUGCAAAUUUUGGACAGACACCCAUUCAAAUUUUUCGGAAGAAACACCCAAGAAGAGGACCUCCUAUACCAAUUGCGCACCCACUAUAUUUUGCUCCACAGUCGAUAACAGUGACUUCUGUUGUUCCUAGUGCAAUCAGCUCUUCAUCAUCUGUAUUGUUCAUUGGCUUGUUGGAUUCAAACAUUGUCUUGAUGGGCGAGGAGCUCAUACUGUCAGUAAAACUUUGGCUAACAACGCAAUUACAGUCUGGUGGAAACUUCACAUUUUCUGGAUCACUGGAGCCUUUCUUUGGAAUUGGUUCUGAUGUUAUUUCUCCCCGAAAAGUUGCCACUUCCUUGGCUGAAAAUGUUGAGUUCGGAAGACAAUGCCUGGCAGCUGUCCAAAUUCAUGGUGACAAUUAUUUAAUUUUAUGUGGUAAUUGGGAGAACAGUUUCCAGAUUAUUUCCCUUAGUGAUGGAAGAAUUGUGCAGAGCAUCCGACAGCAUAAAGAUGUUGUCAGCUGUGUUGCAGUUUCAUCUGAUGGAAGUGUAAUUGCAACUGGAAGUUAUGACACGACUAUUAUGAUUUGGCAUGCAUUCCGAGGAAGAUCAAAUGACAAAAGAUCAAAGAAUGCAAGUAAUGACCUAUCAACUAAGGACCAUGUUAUCAUCGAAAACCCUUCUCACAUCUUGUGUGGUCAUGAUGAUAUUAUCACAUGCUUAUUUGUUAGUAAGGAACUUGAUAUUGUUAUCAGUGGAUCAAAGGAUGGAACUUGUAUAUUUCAUACGUUGCGUGAGGGGACUUAUGUUCGAUCCAUUCGACAUCCAUCAGGUGCUGGCCUGUCAAAGCUGGUGGCAUCACAGCAUGGUAGGAUAGUAUUUUAUUCUGACAGUGAUCUCUCCUUGCAUAUGUAUUCCAUAAAUGGAAAACAUAUCGCUUCAUCAGAAUCCAAUGGCCGCCUGAAUUGCAUGGAACUAAGUUGUUGUGGAGAGUUUAUGGUAUGUGCUGGUGAUCAUGGACAAAUUGUUCUGCGGUCUAUGGAUUCUCUCGGAGUUGUUUGGAGGUAUGAUGGAUCUGGGAAGACAAUAACUUCUUUAGCUGUGACUCCCGAGGAGUGCUUUUUGGCUGGAACCAAGGAUGGCAGCUUGAUUGUAUUUUCAAUAGAAAACCCAUUACUUCGCAAAGGCGGCAUACAACGAAACAAAGUAAAAUCUUCUGUAGGUUAG
rnacentral:rRNA from 1 species